rnacentral:piRNA from 1 species
UAAAAUGAGGAAUGCCAGAGGUGACAAUAAG